rnacentral:rRNA from 1 species
UAAGCGAAUAGUGAAAUGACGAGGCUCAACCUUGUGUCCAUUAUUUGAACUGCCAAGCUAGAGAAUGUGAGAGGUCACUGGAAUUCCCUGUGUAGGAGUGAAAUCCGUAGAUAUAGGGAGGAACACCGAUGGCGUAGGCAGGUGACUGGCACAUUUCUGACACUAAGGCACGAAAGCGUGGGUAGCAAACGGGAUUAGAUACCCCGGUAGUCCACGCCGUAAACGAUGGAUGCUA